GGUGCUGCAUGGUGUCGUCAGCUCGUGCCGUGAGGUGUCGGGUUAAGUCCCAUAACGAGCGCAACCCUUAUCGUUAGUUGCCAUCAUUCAGCUGGGCACUUUAAAGAGACUGCCGGUGUUAAACCGGAGGAAGGUGGGAUGACGUCAAGUCCUCAUGGCCUUUAUGCCCAGGGCUACACACGUGCUACAAUGGGUGGUACAAAGAGAAGCCAACUCGCGAGAGCGCGCCAAUCUCAAAAAAGCCAUCCUCAGUUCGGAUUGGAGUCUGCAACUCGACUCCAUAAAGUUGGAAUCGCUAGUAAUCGCGGAUCAGCAUGCCGCGGUGAAUACGUUCCCGGGCCUU
rnacentral:rRNA from 1 species